rnacentral:rRNA from 1 species
AAACAACUCUCGGCAACGGAUAUCUAGGCUCUCGCAUCGAUGAAGAACGUAGCAAAAUGCGAUACUUGGUGUGAAUUGCAGAAUCCCGUGAACCAUCGAGUUUUUGAACGCAAGUUGCGCCCGAAGCCAUUAGGCUGAGGGCACGUCUGCCUGGGCGUCUCAUA